rnacentral:lncRNA from 1 species
AGGGGCUCACUCAUCCAUCGCAUUUCUGGAGCGCUUACUGUACGCAAAGCAUCGCACUAAGCGCUCGGGAGAAUACAGUCUCGGGAGACUCGGGAGAGAGAGUCAGGGAAGCAGCGUGGCUCAGUGGAAAGACCCGGGCUUCGGAGUCAGAGGUCACGGGUUCGACUCCCAGCCCUGCCACCCGUCAGCUGUGUGACUGUGGGCGAGUCACUUCACUUCUCUGUGCCUCAGUUACCUCGUCUGUAAAAUGGGGAUUAACUGUGAGCCUCACGUGGGACAACCUGAUUACCCCGUAUCUACCCCGGCGCUCAGAACGGUGCUCGGCACGUAGAUGUAGAUACCAACAUCAUUAUUAUUAUUAUUACACCGACGCGUUCCUAUCCACCAGGCGCGCACAGUCCAGAGAUGUCCACAUCUGUAAUGUAUUUAUUUAUAUCAGCUCACGUCUGCCCCUCGACGCCGUAAGCUCUCUGGGGGCAGGGAAUGUGCUCGUCGCGUUGCAGUCCGCCAAGCGCUUAGCACAGUGCUCUGCAUUCAAGUAGGCAUUCAAUAAGUACGACUGAGUGAGUGACCCACCCGGGCCGGGGUCUAGCGGACAAUAAGUGUGCUAUGUCAUCGUCGCCUCGCGGGAGGGACGCACCGUUCAUUCCGUCAUUCGGUCCUAUUUACUCCUAUUUACCGAGCGCUUCCUGUGCGCAGGGCCCUGUGCUAAGCGCUUGGAGAGUGCAAGGUGGCACUGGACAGAGACAACCGCUGGCCCCAAGGAGCGGAGAGUCUGGGGGGCAGUGGGGAGCGGGGAGGGACAGGCAUCAACAGGAGUAAAGAGGCGCUGUGAGAAAUAAAUGAAGUGAGAGCUGUGGGGCGGGGGGAGCGGGGCUUAGCCGGGGAAGGCCUCCAGCACGAGGAGGAGGAGGAGAAGAAGGAGGAGGAGCAGGAGGAGGAGGAGGAGGAGAGGAGGAGAAAGAGGAGAAGGAGGAGGGGGAAGAGGAGAAGGAGGAGGGGGAAGAGGAGGAGGAAGAGGAGAGGAGGAGAAACAGGAGGAGGAGGGGGAAGAGGAGGAGGAAGAGGAGAAGAGCAGAAAAAGGAGGAGGAGGGGGAAGAGGAGGAGGAAGAGGAGAAGAGCAGAAAAAGGAGGAGGAGGGGGAAGAGGAGGAGGAAGGGGGGGAAAGAGGAGAAGAGGAGGAAGAGGAGGGGGAAGAGGAGGAGGAGGAAGAGAAGAGAGGGAGGAAGAGGAGAAGAGCAGAAAAAGGAGGAGGAGGGGGAAGAGGAGAGGGGGAGGAAGAAGAGGAGAAGGGGAGAAGAAGGGGGAGGAGGAGGAGAAGAGGUGGAGAAGAGGAGGAGGGUGGUGCCGGGGGUGCGGGGCUCGGCCCCAUCCAUCCCCUCCCGCCCCGUUGGGCGCCCCCCGGCCUCUCCUCUCCUCCGCCCCCGCCUCGUCCUCCGCCUCCUUAGGCCCGCGGCCCGACCAUCCUCCUCCUCCUCCUCCUCCCGCCCGUCAUCGGCCCAUCGUGGGCCCGCCCGGUCCUCUCUCUCUCUCUCUCCCUCCCUCCCUGUGUCCGUCCGUCCGUCCGUCCGUGGAGCGGGUGUUGGCCGGGGUCCCGGGGGUCAGAGGUCACCUCUUGAGAAAUCACAUUUCAUGAAGAGCAAAUGA